UACGUAGGGUGCGAGCGUUAAUCGGAAUUACUGGGCGUAAAGCGUGCGCAGGCGGUCUGUUAAGACCGAUGUGAAAUCCCCGGGCUUAACCUGGGAACUGCAUUGGUGACUGGCAGGCUUCGAGUGUGGCAGAGGGAGGUAGAAUUCCACGUGUAGCGGUGAAAUGCGUAGAGAUGUGGAGGAAUACCGAUGGCGAAGGCAGCCUCCUGGGCCAACACUGACGCUCAUGCACGAAAGCGUGGGGAGCAAACAGG
rnacentral:rRNA from 1 species